UCCUGGUUAGCUCAGAUGGUAGAGCGAUCCACUGGAAAUUGAGAGGUCCUCGGUUCGAUACCAGGACACUGGCG
rnacentral:tRNA from 1 species